ACUCAAAGGAAUUGACGGGGGCCCGCACAAGCAGCGGAGCAUGUGGUUUAAUUCGACGCGACGCGAAGAACCUUACCCGGACUUGACAUGUGCCUGACCGUCCUGGAAACAGGGCUUCCCUUCGGGGCAGGUUCACAGGUGGUGCAUGGCUGUCGUCAGCUCGUGUCGUGAGAUGUUGGGUUAAGUCCCGCAACGAGCGCAACCCCCGUCGCAUGUUGCCAGCAUUCAGUUGGGGACUCAUGCGAGACUGCCGGUGACAAACCGGAGGAAGGUGGGGAUGAGGUCAAGUCAUCAUGCCCCUUAUGUCCGGGGCUACACACGUGCUACAUUGGCGUAUACAGAGGGCUGCGAUACCGCGAGGUGGAGCGAAUCCCUUAAAGUACGUCUCGGUUCGGAUUGCAGGCUGAAACUCGCCUGCAUGAAGGUGGAGUUGCUAGUAAUCGCGGAUCAGCAUUGCCGCGGUGAAUACGUUCCCGGGCCUUGUACACACCGCCCGU
rnacentral:rRNA from 1 species